rnacentral:rRNA from 1 species
AGAGUUUGAUCAUGGCUCAGGACGAACGCUGGCGGCGUGCCUAACACAUGCAAGUCGAACGGAGUUAAGCCCUUCGGGACUUAGCUUAGUGGCGAACGGGUGAGUAACGCGUGAGCAACCUACCUUUCAGGGGGGGACAACCGUUGGAAACGACUGCUAAUACCGCAUGAAACUUAUCGGGGGCAUCCCUGAAAAGUCAAAGCUUUAUGUGCUGAAAGAUGGGCUCGCGUCUGAUUAGCUGGAUGGCGGGGUAACGGCCCACCAUGGCGACGAUCAGCAGCCGGUCUGAGAGGAUGAACGGCCACAUUGGGACUGAGAUACGGCCCAGACUCCUACCGGAGGCAGCAGUGGGGAAUAUUGGGCAAUGGGGGAAACCCUGACCCAGCAACGCCGCGUGAAGGAAGCAGGCCUUCGGGUUGUAAACUUCUUUUACCAGGGACUAAGGACGUGACGGAACCUGGAGAAAAAGCAACGGCUAACUACGUGCCAGCAGCCGCGGUAAUACGUAGGUUGCAAGCGUUGUCCGGAUUUACUGGGUGUAAAGGGCGUGUAGGCGGAGGAGCAAGUCAGAUGUGAAAUCCCGGGGCUCAACCCCGGAACUGCAUUUGAAACUGUUUCCCUUGAGAAUCUGAGAGGCAAGCGGAAUUCCUAGUGUAGCGGUGAAAUGCGUAGAUAUUAAGGAGGAACACCAGUGGCGAAGGCCGCUUGCUGGACGACAACUGACGCUGAGGCGAGAUGACGCGGGGAGCAAACAGGAUUAGAUACCACUGGGAGUCCACGCUGUAAACGAUCAAUACUAG